GUUAGCUCAAUGGUCGAGCAGCUGGCUCUUAACCAGUUGAUGAGGGUUCGAUUCCCCCA
rnacentral:tRNA from 1 species